UACAGGGGGGGCAAGCGUUGUUCGGAAUUACUGGGCGUAAAGGGCUCGUAGGCGGCCAACUAAGUCCGACGUGAAAUCCCCAGGCUUAACCUGGGAACUGCGUCGGAUACUGGAUGGCUUGAAUUCGGGAGAGGGAUGCAGAAUUCCAGGUGUAGCGGUGAAAUGCGUAGAUAUCUGGAGGAAUACCGGUGGCGAAGGCGGCAUCCUGGACCGACAUUGACGCUGAUGAGCGAAAGCGUGGGGAGCGAACAGG
rnacentral:rRNA from 1 species